rnacentral:rRNA from 1 species
UGGGGAAUAUUGCACAAUGGGCGAAAGCCUGAUGCAGCGACGCCGCGUGAGGGAUGACGGCCUUCGGGUUGUAAACCUCUUUCAGUAGGGACGAAGCGCAAGUGACGGUACCUGCAGAAGAAGCACCGGCUAACUACGUGCCAGCAGCCGCGGUAAUACGUAGGGUGCGAGCGUUGUCCGGAAUUACUGGGCGUAAAGAGCUCGUAGGCGGUUUGUCACGUCGUCUGUGAAAUCCUAGGGCUUAACCCUGGACGUGCAGGCGAUACGGGCUGACUUGAGUACUACAGGGGAGACUGGAAUUUCUGGUGUAGCGGUGGAAUGCACAGAUAUCAGGAAGAACACCGAUGGCGAAGGCAGGUCUCUGGGUAGUAACUGACGCUGAGGAGCGAACGCAUGGGUAGCGAACAGG